GAUGAACGCUGGCGGCGUGCCUAAUACAUGCAAGUCGAGCGAACGGACGAGAAGCUUGCUUCUCUGAUGUUAGCGGCGGACGGGUGAGUAACACGUGGAUAACCUACCUAUAAGACUGGGAUAACUUCGGGAAACCGUAGCUAAUACCGGAGAAUAUCUUGAACCGCAUGGUUCAAAAGUGAAAGACGGUCUUGCUGUCACUUCUAGAUGGAUCCGCGCUGCAUUAGCUAGUUGGUCGGGUAACGGCUUACCAAGGCAACGAGGCGUAGCCGACGUGUGAGAGUGGUAGGCGGCACGGGAGGUGAGACACGGUCCAGGCGACUACGGGAGGCACCAGUAGGGAAUGUUCCGCAAUAGGCGAAAGCAUGACGCAAUAGCGCGGCGUGAGAUGUAAAGGUCUUCGGAUCGUGAUACUGUGUUAUUAGGGGAGAACAUAUUUGGACGGAACUGUGCAGAUAUUGACGGUACCUAAUCAGAAAGCCCCGGCUAACUACGUG
rnacentral:rRNA from 1 species